rnacentral:rRNA from 1 species
UAAUGUCUGGGAAACUGCCUGAUGAGGGGGGAUAACUACUGGAAACGGUAGCUAAUACCGCAUAAUGUCGCAAGACCAAAUGGGGGACCUUCGGGCCUCAUGCCAUCAGAUGUGCCCAGAUGGGAUUAGCUAGUAGGUGGGGUAACGGCUCACCUAGGCGACGAUCCCUAGCUGGUCUGAGAGGAUGACCAGCCACACUGGAACUGAGACACGGUCCAG